AUGGGGAUCCAGGGUUUGCUGCCGCAGCUCAAGUCGAUAAUGGCGCCCAUCAGGGUGGAGGACCUGAGGGGGCAGACGGUCGCCGUCGACACCUACUCCUGGCUCCACAAGGGCGCCCUCUCCUGCGGCGACCGCCUCUGCAAGGGCAUCCCCACCACCAGGCAUAUUGAGUACUGCAUGCAUAGGGUCAACUUGUUGCGGCACCAUGGCGUGAAGCCAAUUCUUGUAUUUGAUGGAGGCUUUCUGCCAAUGAAGAGCGAACAAGAGAUCAAACGUGCAAGGUCACGAAAGGAAAAUCUUGAGCGUGCCAGGGAACAUGAAGCAGCUGGGAAUUCCCGUGCUGCUUUCGACUGCUACCAGAAAGCUGUUGAUAUUACACCUAAAAUUGCUUUAGAACUGAUCCAGGUACUGAAGCAAGAAAAGGUUGAUUAUAUUGUUGCACCUUACGAAGCAGAUGCACAAAUGACAUUCUUAUCUGUCAACAAACUUGUUGACGCUGUAAUUACCGAGGAUUCAGAUUUGAUACCAUUUGGCUGUUCUAGAAUUAUUUUCAAGAUGGACAAAUUUGGGCAAGGUGUUGAAUUCCAGAUAACGCGAUUGGAACAAAACAGGGAGCUGGACUUAAAUGGAUUCACGAAACAGAUGUUACUAGAGAUGUGUAUUUUAAGUGGCUGUGACUAUCUUCCAUCCUUGCCGGGAAUGGGUGUCAAACGUGCUCAUGCACUCAUCCAAAAACUUAAGAGUCAUGAGAAGGUAAUCAAGCACCUGAGGUACAGUGCUGUUUCUGUUCCACCUCAAUAUGAAGAGAAUUUCAAGAAGGCAAUAUGGGCAUUUCAGUUUCAAAGGGUCUAUGAUCCUGCGACAGAAGAUAUUGUUCAUUUGUCUGGCAUUCCUCAUGACCUCAGCGAAGACGACUUUCUGGGCCCAUGGUUACCACAGGCUGUUGUUAAAGGUAUUGCUCUAGGGGAAAUUGAUCCACUUACAAAGGAACCAUUUGAGGCCAGCAUUCCUUCCAGUGCACCUGCUGCUGAUAAAGGUUAUCCGGUCAAGGAGUCUAUUAUUCCUUCAAAUGGAAAGAAGAGGCUAGAAUUGCCUGUGCAGAAAAACAUAUUGACAAAUUACUUCUGCUUAGCAUCGCUUGAGGCAAAACGGAAGUUCAGGGCACCUAAGGUUACACCCAAGCAAAAAAUGUUGAAUGAAUCUUCUUUGCCGAGCCCUCAGACUGAACACUCUGGCACCCCUGAUUCAAUUGAAGACACUAGCUUGCCAAUGAAUAAUAUUCAAUUCUCUCAGUAUAGUUCUGAGCAUUUUAGCUCUGAACCUCCUCGAGAUGAUUCAAUUGAUGCUUCUCAAUGUAGUACUGGUCGUGCCUUCCCCUGGGAUGAUUCAGAUAGUGUUUCACCACACUGUAGUUCUCGUGAUAUUGGCAAUGGUCCUCUUUCUAGGGAUCAACGCAUUGAAGAUGCAGAGGUUGAGGUCAGUUAUUGCAACACAAGUCCAAUGCCAAUAAGUCCUUGCUUAGAGAGGACUUCGCCUGGGAUAGCAGAUCCAUCAUUAGUUUCUCACAACACGGAGCCAUUGAGACCAGUGCCACAUUAUGCUGAAAGUUAUGUGGCUCCUACUGUAAGGAGUUCAUACUUCAAGAAGGAUAAGAGGGUUUUCACAAAUCAAGCAGAAAACCAGUUUGAUGAUGAUGAUGAUAACGCCGAGACUGGCACUUCCACUCUUUCUGGAGUUCAACCGGGGAACCCUGGAGGUGUUGUGAAGAGAAGAAAACUUUGGGAUCCCCAAAAUUUUGAAGACGAAACAUUGCCGCCAACUAGUUCACAUGACAGUCCAGCAGUUGAUGAAGGCUGUGGUACUGAUUCCCUUGAUGACAUCGACACAAAUUCUGAAGGAAGAUUCGGAUGCAAUGUUUCCCAUGUGAAUAAUUACAGUGGCAUUGCGGAGAAAUCGAUGGAUAAGUUUGCUGCACUGAUAUCGUCUUUCAGAUACGCAGGCUCCCGUGCCAGUGGCCUUCGUGCUCCUUUAAAGGAUGUGAAGAAUACCCUUUCUGUGAGAUCUAUUCUCAGACCCCCGGAACAGAACCUCCGGUGUACGGCUAAGAAGACCGCGAGAGGUCAUCGUUCACAAAGCAGAUCCAGAAGUGAUGCCUCGAAUAGCGCCGAUGGUCCUCCUGAUCUGAGCGCGUUUGCACACAGCCCUGUUUUUCUUCCUGAUCUGGGGAAGGUCACCGAUAAAGAUGCACCGGCAAGAUCUACUACUGGUGGUUGUCCUGAUCAAAGCAAGAACACUCGUAAAGCAGUGGGCACUGCUGUCAGUCCUCCUGAUCUGAGCACAUUUGCAUACACACCCACGACUACUGCUAGUCGUCCUGAACGGAGCAAAUUCUCUACAGCUAUAAGAACUGCAGACAGUCCUGAUCUGAGCACAUUUGCAUACCGACCCACGACUACUGCUAGUCGCUCUGAGCAGAGCAAAUUGUCUCCUACAGCUAUAAGAACCGCUGACAGUCCUCCUGAUCUGAGCACAUUUGCAUAUAAAUCCAUGAAACCUUUGGAUGGCAGCAGGUUUGCAGGGACAACAUUAGCAGCUUCUGGACGAAAUUCUCGAGGCCGAUUCACAUAG
rnacentral:rRNA from 1 species